CAGUAGCCGCGGGAAUACGUAGGGUGCAAGCGUUAAUCGGAAUUACUGGGCGUAAAGCGUGCGCAGGCGGUUAUGUAAGACAGUUGUGAAAUCCCCGGGCUCAACCUGGGAACUGCAUCUGUGACUGCAUAGCUAGAGUACGGUAGAGGGGGAUGGAAUUCCGCGUGUAGCAGUGAAAUGCGUAGGUAUGCGGAGGAACACCGAUGGCGAAGGCAAUCCCCUGGACCUGUACUGACGCUCAUGCACGAAAGCGUGGGGAGCAAACAGGAUUAGAUACCCGUGUAGUCCCUGUCUCUUAUAU
rnacentral:rRNA from 1 species